GGUCGCAUAGUCUAGUGGUUAUGAUAUCUGCUUUACACGAUUAUCGCGUGAACGCAGAGGGUCGCAAGUUCGAGCCUUGCUGCGACCA
rnacentral:tRNA from 1 species